rnacentral:tRNA from 1 species
GAAACUUAUCGGUUAUUUUAGUCCUGCUAAGUCCUUAAAUCUGUAGUUCAACUCUAUAGAAGUUUCG